UUCCCUUUCUUUUUUUCUCAGAUUGCUUUUUUCUUCCUUCUCCCUCUCCUUCUUCCUUCUCCCUAUUCUUCUUCCUCCUUCAUCUUCUUCUUACUUCUCCAUCUCCUCUUCAUUGUUAUUAUUGAGUUUCAUACAAGUUUGAUUUUGAUUUUGAUUUGGUGUUUGUUGUUUCAGGUUUGGUGGUGUUGACUCACGUGAAAGGGGGAAGCUUCGUUGACGGUGCGGUUAUUUGAACAUAUGAUCUACGAAAUUAUGGCGGUGGAUAUGACGUUUUCGGCAAUAGGCGGCUUGAUAGUGGUAUACUAUAGUAGCGGCAACACGUUUUUUGACGGCGGGUGUGGUGGUUGGAUUCAAAAUUAUUUUUGUGUGACUUUUUGGUCAGAUCUGUCAUGAGGUUUGAAGGAUUGCUUUCCCCCAAUUUGAAGGUUUGAAGGCAGCACUGUUACCGGCAUUUUCACUUUGUUUUCAAGAACACAUCUGGCAUCUAAUUGUUGUAUGCUUUAAGGCAUGAUUUGGCUCUUUAAGGUGCUGGAGGUGCAUGUGGAAAAGGGAAUGCAUCAAGGUCAAAAGGUUGUAUUUGAAGGACAAGCUGAUGAAGCCAUGUUGCAGUCAGACAUAAUCACCGGAGACAUAGUUUUUGUCUUACAAGUGAAAGGGCAUCCAAAGUUCAAGAGGGAGCGCGAUGACCUCCAUAUUGAUCACAAUCUGAGCUUAACUGAGGCUCUUUGUGGUUUCCAAUUUACUGUCACACAUCUUGAUGGAAAUCAACUCUUGGUCAAGUCAAACCCAGGAGAAGUCAUCAAGCCAGAUAAAACAGAAUUUUCAUGAUUGCAAUUCUCGAUGUUGUAGCCUCCAAUUGCAGCAGUCUCCAUCAACUCUGCACAAUUUUUGCUUUUCAACUACUGUGGCCGCAUGUGCAGCUGUUUUCUCUUUGCCUUCAGUUGCUCUUUAUGUACCUUAACACACUAGCUAUGAUCAUUGAUCCCCGCGCCUGUUAAAUCAAUUUCAAGUAGAAGAAAAAGCAGUAUUUAUAUAGCCACUGUUACAAAAAGUGUUUCCACCGUCCUUGUCUUAUGUUAAAGAACUACUAGGCAAAUUUAUAAAGAAGAACCCACUAUAUCAUUAUUUAUAUAUAUAUAUAUAUAUAUAUAUAUAUAUAUAUAUAUAUAUAUAUAUAUAUGUGUGUGUGUGUGUGUGUGUGUGUGUGUGUGUGUGUGUGUGUGUGUGUGUGUGUGUGUGUGUGUGUGUGUGUGUGUGUAAUAGAAAAUUGCUUUAAAACAAAUUAAUGUCCAUUAAUCAAUUCUACAAGGUUGUUUUCAACCUUUAUAAUGUUUCACUAUAUUAUGUUGAAACUUUGUUUCACUGUUAAGAAUCUUUUUUCAAAGAUUAUCCUAUUAAUGAGGUUGAUUGAAGAAUCCAAAUGGGAGAGUGCAUUUGAUAUGAAUUCAGAUCCAAAUGGCAGUAAUUUUAAGUGUCUGCAAUACCAUGCCUCUUAUGUAAUCUAAUAUAUUUGAAUUCAUUUCUCUCUUAACAUUUCUAUGGGAUUGUGUCCAAAGAGUAUUUCUUUUGUAAAUUUGGUGUUGACGUUUUAUCUUCUGUGUAGUACUUUGAGCAAGACAACAAAACUAUUCAUACAACUCUUUUUAGUAUCUCUCUUUUUUUUUAAACAAGAUUAUAUAGGUAAUUGUUUUUUGAAGCUGCAUAUUAAUUCUAAAAAUUUGUGUAAUAUUUUUAAUUAUCAAUAUAAUAUUUUUAUUGUUAUUACUAUUUUAUUAACUAUAGAAUUUUUUAAGGUGUUCAUCAACUUAGGAUUUUUUUCAAAUUUAUAUUUUUCUUUUAAAAAUUACAUUUUAAAAAGAGAUGCCGUUGUCAUACCCCAAAUUUGUCCUACCCUUUAAUUUCUAACUGGCUUAAGCAUUGCAUUCAUCCGCAUACCUCCAUUAGGUCAUCUAACAUAUCACGCAUCAUUAAUCAAUAAAAAAGGUGUGGGAGCAAGGAUCUUGGAAGCUAGGGUCUUUGUAUGUCGUUCAGGGUGGACUUCUUUCUCCUAAAGCUACAAGGUUUUCCUCCAUGAAGAUUCAUCAGAGGCAAGAAGACUAUGGUUCUUAUACACAAUGUCUACAAUCGUCGAUUCAUCAAAGAUUUGUUGGAUUUCAUCUCGAGGUGUCCUUAUGUGCUUCAAUACUUUCUUCCUCGAGGAUUCUUCGAUGUACUUUUGUUAUGAUGGAUUGAAAUACCGAUGUGAGUCAUGGCAUGAGAGAUGAACUUGUGGAUUCAUUUUGAUCAGAGAAGUUUGGUUCUCAUCAUUUUUACUUGUUGCUUGCAAUACAAGUUAGAGUGGACUUGAGUUUAUUCUUAAAGACUUGAAAUGGAUUUGCAUAAAAAAGGAGAGGAGUAAUCGAAAGUGCUUGGUAUUCCAGUUACAAGACUAAGACGUGCAUGAUUAUUCAUCAAAAAGAUUUGUUAGGCAUUGGUGCAAUUCCAUUCAAAUUCAUUCAACCAUUCAUUCAAGAUCUUUACGUUUACGUUCAUUAUCAUCCAAGUUUCAAGCCCAAGUCAUGUGAAUACCGAUCAUCAUUCAAGCGUUCGAU